UACGUAGGUGGCAAGCGUUGUCCGGAAUUACUGGGUGUAAAGGGAGCGUAGGCGGGACUGCAAGUCCAGUGUUAAAUCUAUCGGCUCAACCGGUAGCUGCGCUGGAAACUGUGGUUCUUGAGUGAAGUAGAGGCAGGCGGAAUUCCUAGUGUAGCGGUGAAAUGCGUAGAUAUUAGGAGGAACACCAGUGGCGAAGGCGGCCUGCUGGGCUUUUACUGACGCUGAGGCUCGAAAGCGUGGGUAGCAAACA
rnacentral:rRNA from 1 species